rnacentral:rRNA from 1 species
GACGAACGCUGGCGGCGUGCUUAACACAUGCAAGUCGAACGGAUAGGCCCUGCUUUUGUGGGGUGCUCGAGUGGCGAACGGGUGAGUAACACGUGAGUAACCUGCCCUUGACUUUGGGAUAACUUCAGGAAACUGGGGCGAAUACCGGAUCGGAGCUCCUGCUGCAUGGUGGGGGUUGGAACGUUUCGGUGGUUGGGGAUGGACUCGCGGCUUAUCAGCUUGUUGGUGGGGUAGUGGCUUACCAAGGCUUUGACGGGUAGCCGGCCUGAGAGGGUGACCGGCCACAAUGGGACUGAGAGACGGCCCAGACUGCUACGGGAGGCAGCGGUGGGGAAUAUUGCACAGUGGGCGGAAGCGUGAUGCAGCAACGCCGCGUGCGGGAUGACGGCCUGCGGGUGGUAAACCGCGUUCGCCGGUGACGAAGCGUGAGUGGCGGUAAUGGGUAAAGAAGCACCGGCUAACUACGUG